UUUCUAUGAAAAAAAAGAUAUUUUUUUUCUAAAUUACAUAGUUGAAUCAGCACAUACUCCUCAGAAAAUAUACCCUCCAUUAGUAAGAAUAAAUAUAGUCCAAGAGCAAAUCUAAAUGCCUCACGAAAAAUAUUUAUAAGAGCCAUCCUUCUAAAGAUGUCCUAGGCACCAGAAGAUCAUUCUCGAUGGAACAAAAAGGCUCUAUGAAAAUGUAGCACCCACCUGGGCCGUAGAUAAUGGCAGAAUAAGGGCAAAAAGGCAGCAUCCCGUGCAGCAUGGUAUAAAAAGGUACAUGGAGGCCUAUUUAUUAAAAGUAGGGAUUUUAGGCAACAGUAGGCUCUGCCACUUGGCUGGAGAUUAGCUCCAUUUUAGGAUCAUAGUGAGGCCUAUGACUGCAAAGAUAGCUUGGAAGAGUAUUAACUGUGAUGUGAAGUGCUCACUAGGUUUUUCCUGGAAGAACACACCCAUUUCAAGCAGAGAAAGAGUAGAGUCAAUCAGGUGCUUUAGAAAGGCUAUUGGCAGUGCCUUGGUGAGCAUGGUGCAAGAGGUGAAGACAGACACCUGUCGGGAUUCAGAGGGAGCAGACUCCACUUCCCCUUCUACAGGCGUGCACGUCCGGUCUCUGCAUCAUGAUUGUCAGUCUUUUGCGAAGAAAUGGAAAUAAGAGGCUCUCCAGAGAAAAAUCCUGUGCAAGCAAAAUGUGUUCCAGCAAGACUCAUGAAAGCACUUGAUACUGUUAUCUACUAGGAGAGCGAAUGAAAUUAUCACUUGAUAAAGCCCAAAGAAAACUUGAUGGUUUCAGAUAAAACGAGUGAUCUUCGCAAAGGAAAAGUACUUCACAGAAGCCGGAAAUUGGGACACCAAAGGGAGGAAGCUGGUACUAGAAUAUUUCACUUAAUGACUGCAUGACAAGUCCAUCAGAGGUCAUUAUUUAUAGGUCAUUUUCCUGUCAAUUGUAGGAAUCCUGGCCUUAAUCAUUUGUGUCAACACACACUUCCGUAUAAAAACUUCCAACAUGAUACAGAUAAUUCUGAGAAACACGAUAUGUGUUCUGACAAUUCUGUUCUUUCCUUUUGACUCUGAAUUUGCCAAGAUAUUUCCUGUUAACUCCUUGGCAUAAGUGUUUUUAAGUGUCUGUUCCUGAUGCCAGCACAGGGUGUCAUGCUGGGAAAAUCCACUUUUUGGAAGGAAAAUUACAAAGUAUUGUGGUCAGCAUUAAAUUUAAAGGGACAUUCCUACUAUUGAAUACGUUUCCACAUUUUUAUUAUUUUAGAUGGUCUUUUUCCUUUUAUUUUUUUUUUCU
rnacentral:lncRNA from 1 species